rnacentral:rRNA from 1 species
AACGAACGCUGGCGGCAUGCCUAACACAUGCAAGUCGAACGAGACCUUCGGGUCUAGUGGCGCACGGGUGCGUAACGCGUGGGAACCUGCCCUUAGGUUCGGAAUAACUCCCCGAAAGGGGUGCUAAUACCGGAUAAUGUCUUCGGACCAAAGAUUUAUCGCCUUGGGAUGGGCCCGCGUUGGAUUAGCUAGUUGGUAGGGUAAAAGCCUACCAAGGCGACGAUCCAUAGCUGGUCUGAGAGGAUGAUCAGCCACACUGGGACUGAGACACGGCCCAGACUCCUACGGGAGGGAGCGGUGGGGAAUAUUGGACGAUGGGCGAAAGCCUGAUCCAGCAAUGCCGCGUGAGUGAUGAAGGCCUUAGGGUUGUAAAGCUCUUUUACCCGGGAUGAUAAUGACAGUACCGGGAGAAUAAGCUCCGGCUAACUCCGUG